rnacentral:misc_RNA from 1 species
AAAAUAAUCCUACCCUUUGUGAAUUUUGUUUGUUUGAAUAAUUUUUUUUUUAAAAAAUUAUUGGAGUCUUUCCCUUUAGUUUGCUUUUGAGUUUGUAAAAGAAUUCGAAAACAUCUAAAGGGGAUGGUCAAUAAUUUUUUUGAAAAAAGACAUUUUUUAAAAUUAAACUUUUUGUAUUCAUUUGUCUAAAAAUUAUUUUUAUAAUAUAAAAACAACUUUUGACAAUGGAUCUCUUGGUUCUCGCAACGAUGAAGAACGCAGCAAAAUGCGAUAAGUAGUGUGAAUUGCAGAAUACGUGAAUCAUCGAAUCUUUGAACGCAUAUUGCACUUUUUUAGUUUACUAAAAAAGUAUGUCUGUUUGAGUAUCAGUAAAAUAUUCUCAUAAAAAUCAUUGUGUAUUUUUAUGGUUAUGAGUGUUUUACAACGAUACAAGUUGUUUCACUUUAAAUUUUUUUUUAAUAUUGAAAUUUUUCUAAUUUUAAUAAUUAAAAUUGGAUAAAAUUUUCCCGUCAAAAGGAAUAACCUAAACAAUUUUAAACGAUUAAUUUUAGCAAAAUUUUCGAAAAAAAGGAAAAUUUUUAUUAAAAUAACUUGAUCUCAAAUCAGAUAAGAGUACCCGCUGAACUUAAGCAUAUCAAUAAGCGGAGGAAAAGAAACUAACAAGGAUUCCCUUAGUAACGGCGAGUGAAGCGGGAAGAGCUCAAAUUUGAAAUCUUCAAGGUUUUACCUUGACGAAUUGUAGUUUAAAGAAGUGUUUUCUGCUGGAAGUUUUGGUAAAAGUUCUUUGGAAUAGGACAUCAUAGAGGGUGAGAAUCCCGUAUUUGACCAUUAUUUUCAGCUUUGUGAUACACUUUCAAAGAGUCGGAUUGUUUGGGAAUGCAGUCCAAAAUGGGUGGUAAAUUUCAUCUAAAGCUAAAUAUUGGCGAGAGACCGAUAGCGAACAAGUACCGUGAGGGAAAGAUGAAAAGAACUUUGAAAAGAGAGUUAAACAGUACGUGAAAUUGUCAAAAGGGAAGCGUUUGACACCAGUGUUGUUUUCUCGAAAAUCAAUUAAAAAUGGCUCGAUUUUGUAUUGCUGAGACCUUAAAAGCUCACUGUACAUUUUUCGUGUCUUUUUUAAUGCACUUUUCGUUUAACAAGUCAACAUCAGUUUCUUUUGUUGUAAAAGGGUCAUUGGAAGGUGGCUUUCUUUUCGGAGAAAGUGUUUAUAGCCUUUGGCCUCUGCAAUCGGAGAGACUGAGGUCUGCAGCGUAGACUCUUCGGGGUUAGAUACAUUUGUGCUAAGUUAUAGCUUUUUAUAGACAACUUGUUGACUAUAAUUAGUCUUGUAGCUUACUCGCUUAUGCUACUU